rnacentral:rRNA from 1 species
GAUGAACGCUGACAGAAUGCUUAACACAUGCAAGUCAACUUGAACUUCGGUUUGGGUGGCGGACGGGUGAGUAACGCGUAAAGAACUUGCCUCACAGAUAGGGACAACAUUUGGAAACGAAUGCUAAUACCUGAUAUUAUGAUUUUAGGGCAUCCUAGAAUUAUGAAAGCUAUAAGCACUGUGAGAGAGCUUUGCGUCCCAUUAGCUAGUUGGAGAGGUAACAGCUCACCAAGGCGAUGAUGGGUAGCCGGCCUGAGAGGGUGAACGGCCACAAGGGGACUGAGACACGGCCCUUACUCCUACGGGAGGCAGCAGUGGGGAAUAUUGGACAAUGGACCAAGAGUCUGAUCCAGCAAUUCUGUGUGCACGAUGAAGUUUUUCGGAAUGUAAAGUGCUUUCAGUUGGGAAGAAAUAAAUGACGGUACCAACAGAAGAAGUGACGGCUAAAUACGUGCCAGCAGCCGCGGUAAUACGUAUGUCACGAGCGUUAUCCGGAUUUAUUGGGCGUAAAGCGCGUCUAGGUGGUUAUGUAAGUCUGAUGUGAAAAUGCAGGGCUCAACUCUGUAUUGCGUCGGAAACUGUAUAACUAGAGUACUGGAGAGGUAAGCGGAACUACAAGUGUAGAGGUGAAAUUCGUAGAUAUUUGUAGGAAUGCCGAUGGGGAAGCCAGCUUACUGGACAGAUACUGACGCUAAGCGCGAAAGCGUGGGUAGCAAACAGG